AGGCAACAGCAUGAGCAACUGAAUGAGGCAGCUCAGGGCAUCCUAACAGGCCCUGGAGAUGUCUCUCUGUCCACCAGCCAAGUACAGAAAGAACUCCAGAGCAUCAAUCAGAAAUGGGUUGAGCUGACUGACAAACUCAACUCCCGUUCCAGCCAAAUUGACCAAGCUAUUGUUAAGAGCACCCAGUACCAGGAACUGCUCCAGGACUUAUCAGAGAAGGUGAGGGCAGUUGGAAGGUAGUAAAAUUGAAUGGAAGGUGGUAAAAUCAUCAAGAAAUGAUUGAUAGAUUUUACAAAAAUCUGUCUGGAAAUUUGAUAGCAAGGUGAGAUUUUAAAGCAACAAACAGGCUAGGCGCAGUGGCUCAUGCCUGUAAUCCCAGCAUUUUGGGAGGCUGCGGCAGGUGGAUCACGCUGUCAGGAGAUCGAGACCAUCCUGGCCAACAUGGAAGCUUAUCUAGACAUAUAAAUUAGAAUAUUGUGAAAUCUUUUUUUUUUCAUUUUUUGUUUGUUUGUUUGUUUGUUUUUGAGACAGGGUCUCACUUUGUCAAUCAAGCCUGAAGUGCAGUGGCAUGAUCAUCUGUUACCGUACAGUGGCAACUACUAAGUCAGCAUCUUUAGGAAAGACACCUCUUAAUAUUAAUCAAUCUUUAAUUAAAACAUUGAGGGCUGAGCCAAAAAAUAUCGGCAGAGUUUCAGAAGCAAGCAGCUUAAAAUACAGAUAUAAUUCAUCUGUCUGCCAAUCUCAUACCAGAUUGAGAUGUUUUACAGAAAGUCUUUAAUUCUUUACAGUUUCAGCAAAUAUGUGUUUUUAAUGUUUUUAACAUUUGGUCAUGUGUAUAUAUGAGUCAAGGAAAGAAGAUAAUUCAAAGAAAUUAUAUGUGCCUUAGAUUUUCUCCAUCUUGAAUUAAUUGUAUUUAUCAAGUGAACCAUUUAAUAUCUCUGUCAUCUUGCAAUUCAUUCCCAAAGGAUAAGCUCUGGUUUUGGUCUAAUUCUUUAAAUUCAUACCUAAGCUGUUUGUUUCUUUGUCAUCAAUGAUAAGAAUUUUCCUUAGUAACAAAAUGAAAGAGAUGGUUUUUAGAAAUCUCUUCCCUCUGUAUUAUUUAUUCUGCCUUCUUUUCUAAUAUUCAGGAGCAGGGGCUGGACGCAGUGGCUCACGCCCGUAAUCCCAGCACUUUGGGAGGCCAAGGCAGGCAGAUCACUUGAGGUCAGGAGUUCAAAACUAGCCUGGCCAACAUGGUAAAACCCCGUCUCUACUAAAAAUACAAAAAUUAGCCAGGCUUGGUGGUGGGUGCCUGUAAUUCCAGCUACAUAGGAGGCUGAGGCAGGAGAAUCGCUUGAACCUGGGAGGUAGAGGUUGCAGUGAGCCAAGAUCGCACCAUUGCACUCCACCUGGGUGACAGAGUGAGACUCUGUCUCAAAAAAGAGGGGGUGAUUCAACCCAGAGACCUCUUUCAUGGAAAUAACCAAGCAAUUUUGUGAUGAUCAUGCCACUCUGGAACUGGAAAGACUACUCUCAGUUAGUCCCAGGGGGAGGCCCACAUCAUCACUUUCUCAGGGAAACCUACCCUGAGCUUCCAGGCCAGGUUGAGGCCCAUGACCCAUGUUCUCAUAGCACGGUGUGCUUUCCUUAGUGCCUGGGAUAGUUUAGGGCACAUAGUAGAUACCAAUAAAUAUUUGGUGUAUGGAUGAAAAGAAGAGAAUCAACGAUAUAACCUUGUGAAAUUAGUUGCCUCAAGAGGAGAGGAAGAGGAAUCCAAGGAGACAAAGAAGGACUGGCUAGAAAGAUAGCACCAGGGUACCACAGUGUCAUGGAAGUCCAAAGAACACAGUCUCAAGAAGAAGGGAGGAUCCAUACUUAUUUCUCACCACUGCUUAUCCUUAACCCCCUCUAAUCUGAUCCAACACCCAUCACUGUGCUGAAACUGCUCUCUUAGAUAUUCAUUGGCUUCCUAGUUGCCAAGUCUAGUGGCCUUGUCUGCCUCACUAUUCUCCUCUUUCAUUGUACAGCAUUUAAUAUCAG
rnacentral:lncRNA from 1 species